CCUACGGGAGGCAGCAGUGAGGAAUAUUGGUCAAUGGGCGCGAGCCUGAACCAGCCAAGUAGCGUGAAGGAUGACUGCCCUACGGAUUGUAAACUUCUUUUAUAAAGGAAUAAAGUGAGCCACGUGUGCCGUUUUGUGUGUACUUGAUGAAUAAGGAUCGGCUAACUCCGUGCCAGCAGCCGCGGUAAUACGGAGGAUCCGAGCGUUAUCCGGAUUUCGUGGGUUUAAAGGGUGCGUAGGUGGGUUGUUAAGUCAGUUGUGAAAGUUUGGGGCUCAACCGUUAAGUUGCAAUUGAUACUGGCAGUCUUGAGUACAGUUGAGGUAGGCGGAAUUCGUGGUGUAGCGGGGAAAUGCUUAGAUAUCACGCAGAACUCCGAUUGCGAAGGCAGCAUACU
rnacentral:rRNA from 1 species